AUUGAACGCUGGCGGCAGGCCUAACACAUGCAAGUCGAGCGAGCGGCGGACGGGUGAGUAAUGUCUGGGAAACUGCCCGUUGGAGGGGGAUAACUACUGGAAACGGUAGCUAAUACCGCAUACCAUCGGAUGUGCCCAGAUGGGAUUAGCUAGUAGGUGGGGUAACAGCUCACCUAGGCGACGAUCCCUAGCUGGUCUGAGAGGAUGACCAGCGACACUGGAACAGAGACACGGUCCGGACUCCUACGGGAGGCAGCAGUGGGGAAUAUUGCGCAAUGGGCGCAAGCCUGAUGCAGCCAUGCCGCGUGUAUGAAGAAGGCCUUCGGGUUGUAAAGUUCUUUCAGCGGGGAGGCGUUACCCGCAGAAGAAGCGCCGGCUAACUCCGUGCCAGCAGCCGCGGUAAUAC
rnacentral:rRNA from 1 species